UGAUGUGAGGGUGACCUGGCUGUGACAUCUUCACCCCACUGAUUGCCAGGCUUGACUCAGCAGACCCGGCUGGGGGUGGGUGUCCCCUUCCUCCCUCACCGCUCCUUCCUGGAGCUGAGGACCACCAGCCCGUGGAGGAUGGCAUUCCUCAGUCAAGGGUGUAUGAGUAGCUGUGCUGCCCUAGGACCUCGAAGCAAGCUCUCCCAAAAAUGCUAUGUCCUAUUCCUGUAAACUGGGCAUUUUACCUUACUUGGAAAAGAGGAGUUAAUUCGCACAGGGAAUUAUGUUU
rnacentral:snRNA from 1 species